rnacentral:rRNA from 1 species
GCUCAGGACGAACGCUGGCGGCAUGCCUAAUACAUGCAAGUCGAGCGGAGUUUGAAUGGAAGCUUGCUUCCAUUCUUACUUAGCGGCGGACGGGUGAGUAACACGUAGGCAACCUGCCCUCAAGACUGGGAUAACUACCGGAAACGGUAGCUAAUACCGGAUAAUUUCUUUCCUCUCCUGAAGAGAGAAUGAAAGGCGGAGCAAUCUGCCACUUGGGGAUGGGCCUGCGGCGCAUUAGCUAGUUGGUGGGGUAACGGCUCACCAAGGCGACGAUGCGUAGCCGACCUGAGAGGGUGAACGGCCACACUGGGACUGAGACACGGCCCAGACUCCUACGGGAGGCAGCAGUAGGGAAUCUUCCGCAAUGGGCGAAAGCCUGACGGAGCAAUGCCGCGUGAGUGAUGAAGGUUUUCGGAUCGUAAAGCUCUGUUGCCAGGGAAGAACGUCCGGUAGAGUAACUGCUACCCGGAGUGACGGUACCUGAGAAGAAAGCCCCGGC